UACAGAGACUGCAAGCGUUAUUCGGAUUCACUGGGCGUAAAGGGUGCGCAGGCGGCCAAGUGUGUUAGGCGUGAAAGCCCGGGGCUUAACCCCGGAAUUGCACCUAAAACUACAUGGCUAGAGCAUUGGAGAGGUGAGCGGAAUUCACGGUGUAGCAGUGAAAUGCGUAGAUAUCGUGAGGAACACCAGAGGCGAAGGCGGCUACCUGGACAAUUGCUGACGCUCAGGCACGAAAGCCGUGGGGAGCAAAAGGG
rnacentral:rRNA from 1 species